AUUGAACGCUGGCGGAAUGCUUUACACAUGCAAGUCGAACGGCAGCACGGGGGCAACCCUGGUGGCGAGUGGCGAACGGGUGAGUAAUACAUCGGAACGUGCCUAGUCGUGGGGGAUAACGCAGCGAAAGCUGUGCUAACACCGCAUACGAUCUACGGAUGAAAGCGGGGGAUCGCAAGACCUCGCGCGAUUGGAGCGGCCGAUGGCAGAUUAGGUAGUUGGUGGGGGAAAGGCCUACCAAGCCUGCGAUCUGUAGUUGGUCUGAGAGGACAGCAAGCCACACUGGGACUGAGACACGGCCCAGACUCCUACGGGAGGCAGCAGUGGGGAAUUUUGGACAAUGGGCGCAAGCCUGAUCCAGCCAUGCCGCGUGAGUGAAGAAGGCCUUCGGGUUGUAAAGCUCUUUCAGAUGGAAAGAAAACGUACAGGUUAAUACCUUGUGCGGAUGACGGUACCAUCAGAAGAAGCACCGGCUAACUACGUGCCAGCCGCCGCAGUAAAAC
rnacentral:rRNA from 1 species